UCCNGGAUCUAUUGGGCGUAAAGGGAGCGCAGGCGGUCAGGAAANUCUGGAGUAAAAGGCUAUGGCUCAACCAUAGUGUGCUCUGGAAACUGUNUGACUUGAGUGCAGAAGGGGAGAGUGGAAUUCCAUGUGUAGCGGUGAAAUGCGUAGAUAUAUGGAGGAACACCAGUGGCGAAAGCGGCUCUCUGGUCUGUCACUGACGCUGAGGCUCGAAAGCGUGGGUAGCGAACAGGAUUAGAUACCCUGGUAGUCCACGCCGUAAACGAUGAGUGCUAGGUGUUAGGCCCUUUCCGGGGCUUAGUGCCGGAGCUAUCGCAAUAAGCACUCCGCCUGGGGAGUACGACCGCAAGGUUGAAACUCAAAGGAAUUGACGGGGGCCCGCACAAGCGGUGGAGCAUGUGGUUUAAUUCGAAGCAACGCGAAGAACCUUACCAGGUCUUGACAUCCCGAUGCUAUUCUUAGAGAUAGGAAGUUACUUCGGUACAUCGGAGACAGGUGGUGCUUGGUUGUCGUCAGCUCGUGUCGUGAGAUGUUGGGUUAAGUCCCGCAACGAGCGCAACCCUUAUUGUUAGUUGCCAUCAUUAAGUUGGGCACUCUAGCGAGACUGCCGGUAAUAAACCGGAGGAAGGUGGGGAUGACGUCAAAUCAUCAUGCCCCUUAUGACCUGGGCUACACACGUGCUACAAUGGUCGGUACAACGAGUUGCGAGCCGGUGACGGCAAGCUAAUCUCUGAAAGCCGAUCUCAGUUCGGAUUGGAGGCUGCAACUCGCCUCCAUGAAGUCGGAAUCGCUAGUAAUCGCGGAUCAGCACGCCGCGGUGAAUACGUUCCCGGGCCUUGUACACACCG
rnacentral:rRNA from 1 species